ACGCUAGCUACAGGCUUAACACAUGCAAGUCGAGGGGCAUCAGGAAGAAAGCUUGCUUUCUUUGCUGGCGACCGGCGCACGGGUGAGUAACACGUAUCCAACCUGCCCUUUACUCGGGGAUAGCCUUUCGAAAGAAAGAUUAAUACCCGAUGGCAUAAUGAUUCCGCAUGGUUUCAUUAUUAAAGGAUUCCGGUAAAGGAUGGGGAUGCGUUCCAUUAGGUUGUUGGUGAGGUAACGGCUCACCAAGCCUUCGAUGGAUAGGGGUUCUGAGAGGAGGGUCCCCCACAUUGGAACUGAGACACGGUCCAAACUCCUACGGGAGGCAGCAGUGAGGAAUAUUGGUCAAUGGGCGCUAGCCUGAACCAGCCAAGUAGCGUGAAGGAUGAAGGCUCUAUGGGUCGUAAACUUCUUUUAUAUAAGAAUAAAGUGCAGUAUGUAUACUGUUUUGUAUGUAUUAUAUGAAUAAGGAUCGGCUAACUCCGUGCCAGCAGCCGCGGUAAUACGGAGGAUCCGAGCGUUAUCCGGAUUUAUUGGGUUUAAAGGGAGCGUAGGUGGACUGGUAAGUCAGUUGUGAAAGUUUGCGGCUCAACCGUAAAAUUGCAGUUGAUACUGUCAGUCUUGAGUACAGUAGAGGUGGGCGGAAUUCGUGGUGUAGCGGUGAAAUGCUUAGAUAUCACGAAGAACUCCGAUUGCGAAGGCAGCUCACUGGACUGCAACUGACACUGAUGCUCGAAAGUGUGGGUAUCAAACAGGAUUAGAUACCCUGGUAGUCCACACAGUAAACGAUGAAUACUCGCUGUUUGCGAUAUACAGUAAGCGGCCAAGCGAAAGCAUUAAGUAUUCCACCUGGGGAGUACGCCGGCAACGGUGAAACUCAAAGGAAUUGACGGGGGCCCGCACAAGCGGAGGAACAUGUGGUUUAAUUCGAUGAUACGCGAGGAACCUUACCCGGGCUUAAAUUGCAGUGGAAUGAUGUGGAAACAUGUCAGUGAGCAAUCACCGCUGUGAAGGUGCUGCAUGGUUGUCGUCAGCUCGUGCCGUGAGGUGUCGGCUUAAGUGCCAUAACGAGCGCAACCCUUAUCUUCAGUUACUAACAGGUUAUGCUGAGGACUCUGGAGAGACUGCCGUCGUAAGAUGUGAGGAAGGUGGGGAUGACGUCAAAUCAGCACGGCCCUUACGUCCGGGGCUACACACGUGUUACAAUGGGGGGUACAGAAGGCAGCUAGCGGGUGACCGUAUGCUAAUCCCAAAAGCCUCUCUCAGUUCGGAUCGAAGUCUGCAACCCGACUUCGUGAAGCUGGAUUCGCUAGUAAUCGCGCAUCAGCCACGGCGCGGUGAAUACGUUCCCGGGCCUUGUACACACCGCCCGUCAAGCCAUGGGAGCCGGGGGUACCUGAAGUACGUAACCGCAAGGAUCGUCCUAGGGUAAAACUGGUGACUGGG
rnacentral:rRNA from 1 species